CAGCCGAGAAGCUAACGCUACAGCUCUUCUUCUUUGGUUUUAGUGGUAGGUAGCGACAAGCGGCGGGGCGCAUUACCGCCAUCUAUGCGAAAACCAUCUCGGUUUCUUCUUCGAGGGAUGCCUGCCCUAAUCCAGCGUUUACGCAAACGAGUGUCCUGUCCAUGUCAUGCUUCAUCGUGCUAACAAGCUACCAGCGGCUCUGCUGAAGCUGUCGUGGUCCAUCAGCUGCUGCAAGGAGGACGUGAUGAAGCCGACCGGUGAUCAGUGUGCGCGCGGUCUGCGUCAAUAUGAUGAACACAACAUAUGAUGGUUCAAUCACCAUUUUUGAUGCAGACUUGUGUCGGUGGAGCUGAAUGACUGUCCAGAGGGCUGUGAUGUGCGGCAGCAGUUUGUGCCUGCUGUUUCCAAUAAAACUCGUCUGUGUCAGAUUCUCCCAUUUCCACUCGCACUGCAAAAGCUGGUGAUGUCUGAAUACUUAAACUUGUGAUCUCUACACAGAAGAGUGAGAGAAGGAAGGAAGCUGAAGUUAAAAGAUUGUAGUUAUAUGAAGAAAGUUAGAAUAUAAAGUAUUUAUUGAACCUUUGAUGAAGAAAGACAUUAACAACCAACAAAUCAAAGCCGUUUGUCAUUCAUAAAUCCAAGUUCAUGUUAAAAUGCUUUGGUUACAGUGUCACAGAUUUUAUAUUCACAUAUGAACAA